AUGAACCUGACAGUUCUUGAUAUCUCUAGCAAUGCCUUCUCUGGUGGCUUCAACAUCACGGCACUCUGUGUUGAGCCGGUUAAGGCCCUGAGAUUUUCCAGGAAUGGGUUCAACGGUGAGAUCCUUGCAGGCUUUGGCCGAUGCAGGGUGCUCGCUGAGCUAUCUAUUGAUGGCAGUGGCCUCACUGGGAAUCUCCCCAGCGACCUGUACACUUUAUCAGAGUUGAGGAGGCCGAGCCUACGGGAAAAUCAGCUCUCUGGAGGUCUUAUUAGCGAGUACCUGGGUAACUUCUCUCAGCUUAUGCAUAUUGACCUGUCAUAUAACUUGUUCACAGGAGUCAUUCCUGAUGUGUUUGGGGGUUUGAGGAGGCUGGAGUUCUUAAACUUGGCCACAAAUUCGUUCAGUGGCACAUUGCCUGCUUCCCUGUCGAGCUGCCCAAUGCUGAGGGUUAUCAACCUAAGGAACAACUCGCUGUCGGGUGAGAUUGCCGUACACUUCAACUUACUGCCAAGGCUGAACGUUCUGGAUGCAGGGAGCAACAUGCUGAGUGGUGCUAUACCUCCCAGCCUCGUGUGGUGCACCAAGUUGAAGACCCUGAACUUUGGAAGGAACAAGCUUGAGGGAGAGAUACCAGAGAGUUUUAAGAAUUUGCAAUCCCUAUUGCACCUCUCUCUUGUUCACAGUGGCUUCACCAACUUGUCAUCGGCAUUGCGAGUCUUGCAGCACCUGCCCAAACUGACUAGCUUGGUGCUCACCAAGAAUUUACGUGGUGUUGAGACCCUGCCAAUGGAUGGCAUCAGUGGGUUCAAGAGCAUGCAGGUGCUUGUCUUGGCACACUGUGCGCUCUCCAGCAUGAUUCCACCUUGGCUGCAGAACUUGGAGAGCCUAAGAGUGCUGGACCUUUCAUGGAACAAGUUGAACGGAACAAUCCCGUUAUGGUUGGGGAAUCUGAAUAAUCUUUUCUAUCUUGACCUGUCAAACAACUCGUUUAGUGGGGAGCUUCCUGAGAGCUUUAUACAGAUAAAGAGCUUACUUUCAAGUAAUUAUUCAAGUGAGCAUGCAUCAAUAGAGGGCUUCCCAUUAUUCAAGAAGAAUUCGGCUGACAAAGGUUUGCAGUACAAUCAUGUCAGUAGCUUCCCACCGUCGCUGAUCCUCUCCAAUAACUUGCUUGUUAAGCCAGUCUUGCCUGGCCUUGGCCAUCUUGUGAAUCUUCAUGUACUGAACUUGAGCUGGAACAACUUCUCAGGAGGCAUUCCUGAUGAGUUGUCAAACAUGUCGAGCCUGGAAGCGCUAAAUCUGUCCCACAAUGAUCUCAGUGGGAGCAUACCAGCAUCUCUAACAAAGUUGACAUUUCUGUCCAAGUUUGAUGUCUCUUACAACUUGGCUGGAGAUAUACCAACAGGAGGGCAAUUUUCCACAUUCGCGAAUGCGGAUUUUGUGGGCAAUUCUGCACUCUGCAUUCUUCGGAAUGCCUCCUGCACUGAAGAGGCUCCAUUUGUGGAAACAGGAAAUGAGCAGCAUCGUGGUAUGGAUACUACAAUGCCUGCAAUGACAUACAUCACCGGGGAAGUGGGGUUCGCUUUUGGGCUUUUGAUCGUCUGGAAUGUACUGUUCUUCAUAAGGCCUUGGAGGGUUGCAUAUUUUCUGACGAUUGAUAGGUUCUUUGAUAUGAUUUAUGUCAUGACAGUGGUGAAGGUGAACAUGCUCAGAAGGAAAUGGGAGUAUAAAGUUCAUCCUUAA
rnacentral:rRNA from 1 species